AUAGAUUUAGUCAUGGGAGAAAAUCUUUGCAGCAUUAAUAUGCCUUCGGCUACCGAGGAAAAUUAUAAAUAUGAAUGUUUUUCUAUGUUCUUUGAUUCCACUAGGCGUGACAGCACUUACCGGAUGAUGAUUCAGAUUGCUUUUUUGCUUCUGAUAGUAACAGCGAUGUGCAUGUGGUAUAACGCUGUAGAUAAGUUCGUCAUUAUUUUCAUCAUAGUCAUGUUCGGAAUGUUUUUUGCGAUAGGAUGUAUGACAGCCAAUAGAUUGAGCGAAUGUGAAAAUAAAAUAAGUCAGAAAAUAAAAACGGAAAAAAAGAAAAGAGUUCAAAAUGCUGUCAAUGGAUUGUUUAACAGUUUACCGUGAAAAGAGUUCUUUACUGGAGGUAUGGCAAUCAAUGCGUAUAUUGUUUGUACAGAUCACCAUUUUACUCAUAAAUAUACAACGAUGAUGACCAUAUCUUAAUAUAUGUAGUUCGUAUACGUAGAAUUUUUGUUUUUAUCAUUUUAUAUAUUGAAAUAAAACUAUUCUAAUUAUC